GACGGGGCCCGCACAAGCGGUGGAGCAUGUGGCUUAAUUCGAAGCAACGCGAAGAACCUUUACCAGGUCUUGACAUCCGAUGCUUAUUUCUAGAGAUAGAAAGUUACUUCGGUACAUCGGUGACAGGUGGUGCAUGGUUGUCGUCAGCUCGUGUCGUGAGAUGUUGGGUUAAGUCCCGCAACGAGCGCAACCCCUAUUGUUAGUUGCCAUCAUUCAGUUGGGCACUCUAGCGAGACUGCCGGUAAUAAACCGGAGGAAGGUGGGAUGACGUCAAAUCAUCAUGCCCCUUAUGACCUGGGCUACACACGUGCUACAAUGGUUGGUACAACGAGUUGCGAGUCGGUGACGGCGAGCUAAUCUCUUAAAGCCAAUCUCAGUUCGGAUUGUAGGCUGCAACUCGCCUACAUGAAGUCGGAAUCGCUAGUAAUCGCGGAUCAGCACGCCGCGGUGAAUACGUUCCCGGGCCUU
rnacentral:rRNA from 1 species